rnacentral:rRNA from 1 species
UACGUAGGGGGCUAGCGUUGUCCGGAUUUAUUGGGCGUAAAGAGCGUGUAGGCGGCCAGGUAGGUCCGCUGUGAAAGUCGAGGGCUCAACCCUCGAAUGCCGGCGGAUACUGUCGGGCUAGAGUCCGGAAGAGGCGAGUGGAAUUCCUGGUGUAGCGGUGAAAUGCGCAGAUAUCAGGAGGAACACCAAUUGCGAAGGCAGCUCGCUGGGACGUAACUGACGCUGAGACGCGAAAGCGUGGGGAGCAAACAGG